rnacentral:rRNA from 1 species
UACAGAGGUCUCGAGCGUUAGGCGGAAUCACUGGGCUUAAAGCGUGUGUAGGCGGAUCGUUAAGUACCUUGUGAAAAUCCCACGGCUUAACCGUGGAACUGCUUGGUAUACUGGCGGUCUUGAGCCAGCUAGGGGCUACCGGAACAAAUGGUGGAGCGGUGAAAUGCGUAGACUAUCAUUUGGAACGCCAAUGGUGAAAACAGGUAGCUGGGGCUGUGCUGACGCUGAGACACGAAAGCCAGGGGAGCAAACGGG